rnacentral:rRNA from 1 species
UCCUGGCUUAGGAUGAACGCUAGCGACAGGCUUAACACAUGCAAGUCGAGGGGCAGCAUAAAAGUAGCAAUACUUGGUGGCGACCGGCGCACGGGUGAGUAACGCGUAUGCAACCUACCUAUACAGAGGGGGAAUAACCCCGGCGAAAAGUCGGACUAAUACCGCAUAAAAACAGGGGCACCGCAUGGUGAUAUUUGUUAAAGAAAUUCGCUGAUAGAUGGGCAUGCGUUCCAUUAGGUAGUUGGUGAGGUAACGGCUCACCAAGCCGACGAUGGAUAGGGGAACUGAGAGGUUGGUCCCCCACACUGGUACUGAGACACGGACCAGACUCCUACGGGAGGCAGCAGUGAGGAAUAUUGGUCAAUGGGCGAGAGCCUGAACCAGCCAAGUCGCGUGAAAGGAAGAAGGAUCUAUGGUUCGUAAACUUCUUUUGCAGGGGAAUAAAGUGCAGGACGUGUCCUGUUUUGUAUGUACCCUGAGAAUAAGGAUCGGCUAACUCCGUGCCAGCCGCAGC